AGCGCUUUCUCCCCGGCGACCCAUGGCACGCGGCGCCGCGUGAUUACGUCGACCCCUGGAGAGUCAGCGAAACCCGGAAGCGGCAACGGAGGCGUUCCUCCAAUGGAGAGAUGGCCAGAAUGGAGCUGAUCGCGCCCUGGGUCCGGGAUGUCAGCAGGGUGGACGACCCUCGGGACCACCGGUAGGAGGACGAUGUCAGCAGGGUGGACGACCCUCGGGACCACCGGUAGGAGGACGAGAUAGACGAUGGAGUUGGGCAGUCGUUGCCGACAGAGCUGUAACAACAGCGAGGAGGAAGACUGCGACGCAGGGCUAAACGGCAGCUUAUCACCAGCACCCCCACCUGCUGUAGAGGACAUCUACCAGCCUCCACGCCACACCCCCACCACCAUCUCCAGCUACUCGCCGAGCCCAGUGUGGGACGUCCCUCUUUUCCCAGGAUCCUUCAGUGGAGCAGCAGACGCAAAGAAGAUCACCACCAUCCUCACGCAGAAUGAGUUUUUGGGACUUCCUGGAGAGACUGAGGGCAGAGUUUGAUCGGCCAGAGCCUGAGCCAGGGACCGAACUCUGCCCCACCACCACAUCCAGCGCCAGUCAGGAUCCAGUGCAAGAAGGUCCAGCAGAGGCGGGUGGCGAGAAGAUGGCGACACAGCAGCAGAGCCGAACCCCUGGGAGGAGGUUCCUGACCCGACUAUGCUGGUCCAGGAUGAGGUGGGCGAGCUCCAAGAUACCUGACCAUGCCAGGGAGCCAGCCCGAGGGACCGGGCUGCCAUGCCGGACCAUGUUGGGGAGCCAGCCAGAGGGUCCGGGUCCUCCAAGGGGAGGACACAUCAGGGCAGGAGCCUUGUGUUUGCCGCUGUCUGCCCCGCCGCCUCCACUCCACAAGGACGUAGCCCUGGGAGGAGGGGCUCUGUCAGGAUUGGUUCCAGGGGAUCGCUGCAGCUGAAGCCAAUUCUGACAGCUGUCUGUGAAGUCUGUGACUCCGCCCCUUCUGCAGUGGCGACAUUUUGAGUUCUGGCAACCGGCAAAUUCAAAAUUUGUCACAUACAUAGUCAUACACGGUAUGAUAUGCAGUGAAAUUCUUUUUGCGACUGCUACAGACCACAGUAUUGCAAAUGUUGCAUGUAUACAAUGAAGACCAAUAUGCAAAUAUUGCAAACAUAACCAAAUAUUACACUUUUACAUCUUUAACAUAAAAUAUGUGCAUCAGGUAGGGAGAAGGUGUGCAAAUGAGUGAAAGACAAAGUAUAUAAAAAAAAAAAAAGCAGUAAAAAGCGCAAAAAUUUUUUUUGUGCAAAGUGAUUGCACAAAUCCACUUUGUGCAAAGCCACACUCCUGCGGGCUAGUUUAAUGGUGUUCCUCAAUUUUGUUUCACUGUUUUAGGCCAUCACUGCUUGUUUGUGCUUAUUAAUAAAUCCUUGUUCCCAGUAUGUCCCGCCUCUGCG
rnacentral:lncRNA from 1 species